UACGAAGGGGGCUAGCGUUGCUCGGAAUCACUGGGCGUAAAGGGUGCGUAGGCGGGUUCUUAAGUCAGAGGUGAAAUCCUGGAGCUCAACUCCAGAACUGCCUUUGAUACUGAGAGUCUUGAGUUCGGGAGAGGUGAGUGGAACUGCGAGUGUAGAGGUGAAAUUCGUAGAUAUUCGCAAGAACACCAGUGGCGAAGGCGGUUCUCUGGGACGGUACUCGACGCUGAGACGACGAAAGCGUGGGGAGCGAACAGG
rnacentral:rRNA from 1 species